rnacentral:lncRNA from 1 species
CUGCAAAGACAAAGCCCACGAUCAAUCAGUCUUUCUAGCUAGCUUGCACCAAGCAAAGGAAUCCCAAAAGAAUCGCAAGAACAUUGAGCACAAACAGUGAUCCAGAGGACCCAGGAAAGAAUAGGAAACAGUGGGUCGAUCGAACAAGAAAUUUGCGGUGAUGGGCGAUACCACAUUGCUCGAUCGAUCCAAAGAACUCGCCAGGAAAACAGAGCACGGAGAGAUGGGGGGAUCGAAAGGGAGAGAAUCGGAGGAAAUGGGCGAGAUGGGUGUGAUCACGUACACGAUCUGCUUCUGGUUCCAGAGGAUCGAGUACGAGUGGAAGUCGGCAGUGGGAUCAAACCAGAGGUAGACUCGCUGCUCGCGGUUGCCGACGCCAUUGGCGUAGACGUUGGUCUGGAGGAUGUAUGGAUUGCCCGACGUGUUGCCCAGAAACUCGAGAUCGAUCUCGUCGCGGGUCCUGUAAUCGUCCGAGGACAUCUGUCACAAGCAACUCCACGGUCAGAAAUGCGGAAGAAAUGGCGCUGGAUAGGCGCGAGUUUGGGAGAUUUACGUAGUAGGCUGCCACAGUUCCAGCAGAAUCACCGGGAACAAGCUUGAUUUGCAUGCUCACUCUGCCGAAGAGAUACUUGUUCUUGGACGCGAAGCCAGCAGCUGUGGAAGAGAAGGAAUCGAACACCCAAAGCCCGAGAGAGCGUGAGCAUUGCAAUGCGAUCGAUCCAAGCAAAAGAAUCAACCUGAUUGAUGAUCCAAGACGAGACGAACUUGGCCAGAGCCAUCCACUUUGACGUGAUCGUUGUUGGAGGUGAAGAGAUCGUUGAAGU